AUACGGAGGGUGCGAGCGUUGUUCGGAAUUAUUGGGCGUAAAGAGCAUGUAGGCGGUCUGUUAAGUCUGGUGUGAAAGCCCGGGGCUCAACCCCGGAAGUGCAUUGGAUACUGGCAGACUUGAGUAUGGGAGAGGAAAGCGGAAUUCCGGGUGUAGGAGUGAAAUCCGUAGAUAUUCGGAGGAACACCAGUGGCGAAGGCGGCUUUCUGGACCAAUACUGACGCUGAGAUGCGAAAGCGUGGGGAGCAAACAGGAUUAGAAACCCUGGUAGUCC
rnacentral:rRNA from 1 species